rnacentral:lncRNA from 1 species
UAACUGUAAAAAUAGAAAAAUAGGACGUGGCUAAUUCCUGGAAAAAUUUAGUCUGCUGUAAAGUCUAAUCAAUUAGGUGCUUGUGUUUUUAUUACAGAAUGCUAAAAUGCGGUGAAAGGCAACAACAAUAAAACGUCUGUAUCCCAAAACUAGCUUUGCUCAGCUAAUUUUCUAGUAUAUGCUCUGAAAAAAAAUGAAAACAAUUUGAGAAUGCAGAAAAUCAAAUACCUGAGAAAGUCCUUUCUCAGUGGAGAGCAAAUUAGGGCAUUUUUCAAGUCCUAAUUCCAAAUUCAGAAGUACUCCAAUUCAGUAUAUAUUAAUCUUAGAUAUAAAAUGGGACUCGCAACAAGAACGUAACAAACAAAAUAUUUG